ACUCAAAGGAAUUGACGGGAGCCCGCACAAGCGGUGGAGCAUGUGGUUUAAUUCGACGGUAAGCGAGGAACCUUACCAGGGCUUGACAUCUAGCUGCAGUCACCUAGAAAUAGGAGACGUCUUCGAGAGUGCUAGACAGGUGCUGCAUGGUUGUCGUCAGCUCGUGUCGUGAGAUGUUGGGUUAAGUCCCUUAACGAGCGCAACCCUCGUGCUAUGUUAAAUAGUCAUAGCAGACUGCCCCGGUUUAACGGGGAGGAAGGUGGGGAUGACGUCAAAUCAGCAUGGCCCUUACGCCCUGGGCAACACACGUGCUACAAUGGCCGGUACAAUGAGUCGCAAAAGCGCAAGCUGAAGCCAAUCUCAUCAAAGCCGGUCCUAGUUCGGAUUGAGGUCUGCAACUCGACCUCAUGAAGCUGGAAUCGCUAGUAAACGCCGAUCAGCUACGCGGCGUUGAAUACGUUCUCGGGCUUUGUACACACCGCCCGU
rnacentral:rRNA from 1 species